CCUCGAAAUCCUUUGUCUCGCGAGAUGCGAUUAAUGACUAAUUUACCUCAUUGCUAAAACAUGAGGGACGAUUAGAAACUAAUCAUCCCACGGGACGAUUAUCGGGGGUCCCUCAUCUUUAUGCAACCUCUUAUAUUAAUGUUCAAAAAGACAUGAAAAAUCAACGGCAACCUCAUUAACGGACAUCCCAAUAGUCAUUAGUAUCAAAAAGCAAACGCACCUUUUCAUUUCAACUUAUUCAAUCGAAUUUAUUAUCUCGGUAUAGCUAUGAUAUUACAAAGUGCUAUAUAGCAUGGCAUUACGGUCGAUUAGUGAUGAAAUGUCCCUCUAGCCUCGAGAGGUUUUCGGGUACAUUUAAUCGCUCACUAAUCGAUCUGAAUGCCAUGCUAUUAGUAUUACUUAUAAGAAUACUUGGUCAACUAUGACGCAAUUCCUUAACGAUUUCCUUCCAGAAAAUACCAGAAAUGCGAUCAUCGAGCUUCAAAACAAAACAAUUUUC